rnacentral:misc_RNA from 1 species
UAAUAAGUGUUUUAUGGCACUUUUUUAAAUCCAUAUCCACCUUGUGUGCAAUGUCAGGGCUGGUCUCUUUUGACUAGCCUCAAACAUCAACUAUAUCUCAACUCUUUGUCUGAAAAAUAUUAUGAAUAAAACAAUUCAAAAUA